GACGAACGCUGGCGGCGUGCUUAACACAUGCAAGUCGAACGGAAAGGCCCUGCUUUUGUGGGGUGCUCAAGUGGCGAACGGGUGAGUAACACGUGAGUAACCUGCCCUUGACUUUGGGAUAACUUCAGGAAACUGGGGCUAAUACCGGAUAGGAGCUCCUGCUGCAUGGUGGGGGUUGGAAAGUUUCGGCGGUUGGGGAUGGACUCGCGGCUUAUCAGCUUGUUGGUGGGGUAGUGGCUUACCAAGGCUUUGACGGGUAGCCGGCCUGAGAGGGUGACCGGCCACAUUGGGACUGAGAUACGGCCCAGACUCCUACGGGAGGCAGCAGUGGGGAAUAUUGCACAAUGGGCGGAAGCCUGAUGCAGCAACGCCGCGUGCGGGAUGACGGCCUUCGGGUUGUAAACCGCUUUCGCCUGUGACGAAGCGUGAGUGACGGUAAUGGGUAAAGAAGCACCGGCUAACUACGUGC
rnacentral:rRNA from 1 species